GACGAACGCUGGCGGCGUGCCUAAUACAUGCAAGUAGAACGCUGAAGGAGGAGCUUGCUUCUCUGGAUGAGUUGCGAACGGGUGAGUAACGCGUAGGUAACCUGCCUGGUAGCGGGGGAUAACUAUUGGAAACGAUAGCUAAUACCGCAUAAGAGUAGAUGUUGCAUGACAUUUGCUUAAAAGGUGCAAUUGCAUCACUACCAGAUGGACCUGCGUUGUAUUAGCUAGUUGGUGGGGUAACGGCUCACCAAGGCGACGAUACAGAGCCGACCUGAGAGGGUGAUCGGCCACACUGGGACUGAGACACGGCCCAGACUCCUACGGGAGGCAGCAGUAGGGAAUCUUCGGCAAUGGACGGAAGUCUGACCGAGCAACGCCGCGUGAGGGAAGAAGGUUUUCGGAUCGUAAAGCUCUGUUGUAAGGGAAGAACGAGUGUGAGAGUGGAAAGUUCACACUGUGACGGUAUCUUACCAGAAAGGGACGGCUAACUACGUG
rnacentral:rRNA from 1 species